UAGAGUUUGGAUCAUGGCUCAGAUUGAACGCUGGCGGCAGGCCUAACACAUGCAAGUCGAGCGGUAACAUUUCUAGCUUGCUAGAAGAUGACGAGCGGCGGACGGGUGAGUACAACUUGGGAAUCUGCCUGAUGGAGGGGGACAACCACUGGAAACGGUGGCUAAUACCGCAUAAUCUUUUCGGAGCAAAGUGUGGGACCUUCGGGCCACACGCCAUCAGAUGAGCCCAAGCAAGAUUAGGUAGUUGGUGGGGUAAAGGCCUACCAAGCCGACGAUCUUUAGCUGGUCUGAGAGGAUGAUCAGCCACACUGGGACUGAGACACGGCCCAGACUCCUACGGGAGGCAGCAGUGGGGAAUAUUGGACAAUGGGGGCAACCCUGAUCCAGCCAUGCCGCGUGUGUGAAGAAGGCCUUCGGGUUGUAAAGCACUUUCAGUGGUGAGGAAGGGUGUGUUGUUAAUAGCAACAUACAUGACGUAGCCACAGAGAGACCG
rnacentral:rRNA from 1 species